AUUGCUUUUCCUGUUCGGCUGCUUCCAGAGUUCGUGUAUUUCUUGUUCGUGAGUUGGGGAUUCGUACAGUUUGGAGUUCGGGAGGUUGGUGAUUGCAAUAGCUGCUGGUCUAUGGGAAAGGGGAUUAUCGCCUAAACCGAUUUUAUCCCCUUGUGAGAGAAACGGUCCGUUACAAUUGGUGGCAGCGGUGGGAUCGUUCCUACAACCAGAAAGACAGCUACAGGGCAACACCAUUCCUUGGAUUACAAAGUGAGGGCAACGCCAGUACCCGUACAGCGACCCUAUCUACAAAAGAACUAACUUCAGCAGCGCAAGCAUGGCACCCAGCUACACUCAGGAGCAGUAUGACA
rnacentral:lncRNA from 1 species